GACGAACGCUGGCGGCGUGCUUAACACAUGCAAGUCGAGCGGUAAGGCCCUUUCGGGGGUACACGAGCGGCGAACGGGUGAGUAACACGUGGGUGACCUGCCCUUAGCUCUGGGAUAAGCCUGGGAAACUGGGUCUAAUACCGGAUAUGACUCCAUGACGCAUGUUGUGGGGUGGAAAGCCUUGUGCGGCUAGGGAUGGGCCUGCGGCCUACCAGCUUGUUGGNGGGGUGAUGGCCACCAAGGCGACGACGGGUAGCCGGCCUGAGAGGGCGACCGGCCACACUGGGACUGAGACACGGCCCAGACUCCUACGGGAGGCAGCAGUGGGGAAUCUUGCGCAAUGGGCGAAAGCCUGAACGCAGCGACGCCGCGUGGGGAUGACGGCCU
rnacentral:rRNA from 1 species